GUGAUCGCUUCAGCAGUACAUAUACCAAAAUUAGAAUGAUAGAAGAUUAGCAUGGCUUCUGCACAAGGGUGAUAAGAAAAUUCAUGAAACAUUCCAUAUUUAA